rnacentral:lncRNA from 1 species
AACAGAGAGAAUCAACAUUAAGCCCCAUUGGACUGGAUUCUGAAGAUGCUUGAGGACUUCCUGCCUUAGUCAGAUUUGGUUUGGAACUGGGGCAGGGCCAGGCCUGCAGGUGGAAGCAACAUCAGCCCCAGCUGUGGGUCCUUCUGACCUCUUUUUCUCUCUACCAGAGAACUGGCUAUUUUUACCUGUCAACUGAGAAGGAUGGAUAGAGAAAAGCAUCAUUACAAAAGUGAAAUGUGUGAAUUUUAUUCUGGCUUUGAACAUUGAGUAGACGAAGAAGACAAUUCCAGACGGAGGAAACUCCACAAGAAAUAUCAUGGAAAUUUGAAAGAACACAGUGGGCUUGGGAAGAGGUGCUUCCAAGACCAAGAUAACCAGGCAAUCAUAGUAGAUGCAUCAAUGCACCCUUGCCCAAGGGCCUAGACAAGAGGAGGAAGGAAAGGAGGAGCACGUGCACAAAGCUAAGGAGGUGAUUAACAACAUGAUACAGUAUUGUUUAGCUUCGCAUGAAUUUUAUCACCUUGCCUAGAACCAGCCACCAUCUGCCAGGGCUCCUGACUUUUUCUGAAAUGAAUAGACACUAAAGCCUGCUGGGGAAUUUCAUGGAAAUCAAGAUGACUCAACCCAGAGUCCAUUUCAAGGCUAGGAUGCUAGAGGACGCCAACAAAGGAGUAGGGAAGUGAAACGGAUCAGCUCACAUCCAAGCCCUUGCAUGAUCAAUCCUGCAGUAGGAGUGCUGCUCAGUUGGGACUCAUGAGAGCCCGGAAGAGGAAAAAGCAGCUCUAAGCAUAGCAAAGAAGCUGUUAUGGAAAAGACCCAAAUGUUAAAAUGGUGGACAUAGUAAAGUGAUUGGUUCUGCUUAGGGGAAUCUAGAUCCCCACAUUUUGACCUCCACUGGAGUCUCAGAAGAACAAGUGCCAGGGGGGCUUGCCACAGAGGCCAAGGCAGUGAAUGUCAGGCACAUCACAGUCCCCAAGAUGGGGAGAAGACUGAGAUGCAGGGUAACAACUGCAAUCCAUUCAUGGGAGCCAUGUUUAUCUUAAAUCAUUGACAGUGAGAUAAGGAUCAUGUCAGCCUUCAUACCUUUGAUGAUGAUCCCAGGCUGCAACAGUGACACAUAGAACUGGAUUCAGUAACUAACUACAGAUUCCAUCAACCAGGACUAGUAAAGUGAAAGGCAGAAAUUGGGAGGAGGGGUUUCUUUCUUGCUUAUAAAACUUUAUUUGGUUGUGUUGAGUAUGUGCAUGUAUGUAUGAAAUCCCAUAAAGCAGUCUUCUUAGGAACAAGCCAACAUGCCACAAUGUAGGAGAUCUUUGGAGCACUGGCCUAAAUGGCAGAGAGCUCAAGGGACUCUGCUUUGUACAAGGCAUGAUUUGUACCACCACCACUAUCCCUGUUUCAGAGCACUGUUGAAUUGUUCCAAACCUGGAUUUCUAUGUCAGCUCCCUGUCUAUAGUACUUGACUGAUAAAUGCUAGUUUCUGAAAUCUGCUUUGGUUCUAUAAUUUAUUAGACAGCUUUUUCUUCCCAUUUUAUUACUUGUUUUUACUGUCAUUGGUAUAUUAUCUCUUACAGUGAAAACAUUCAUAGGCUGAUUGAAGAGAAGAUCUGAAAUUAUUAGGCAGCAAGCAUACAAAACCCUUGCUUUAUAAAGAUAAUAUCUUAAAGGCCUAAUGUCUAUGGUUCAAAGCAGCCUGGAGAUGUUGGCUAAAUCUUCCAUCAUAGAGUCCUCAUGGGAUCUGGAAGCUCUGAUUUAUCUUCCUUCAGGCCCUAUAAGUUAGCUUUCCACAUCUGUAGGUUCCACAAUCAACCUUGGAUCAAAAACAUUUGAAA